UCUCUAUGAAUUUUGCAAGAAUCUGGAACCAUCCAUGGAUCCAAGUGGAUCUCUGUGGGAUUAGCUGCCUUGUGCUGCAACCCAUCCGCAGGUCAAAAUCAUACUCUGUCUUCUGCAGAGGUUUACCAACUCCUAGAAUGAUUUUCUGCCACUUUGCCAGGCUGGGUGACACUGCAGAAUCUCAUUGCCCUGAAAGAUGUGUUUAUAUCCAGUGACUGCAGCAUUGUCUGGUGACAUCAGUCUGUGGGGUGACUGUUCUACUGCUACGUUUUUCAGCCUUGCUGGUGAAGGAGGAGUCCGAGGCUGUUACUCAAACUAAAGCAGAAAGUCCUUGCUGUGUUCUGAAAAUGGGCUUAUAGGUCAUUAAAAAUACACGCUAUUUUGAAAUGGAUCAAACUUUGUCCUAGUUACUCUCUGGUUAGUCAGGCCUGAAAAUGAGCAGCUGCUUAGUGCAACCCUCCUCCUUUGUUUCAUAAAUAUAAUUUGCCUUUUCAAAGAUCACAGAGCAAAUUAGGGUGACUGUAUGGCACCCAGAAGAAAUUGCCCCCGGUCAGCUCUCAAAGCUGGGUUAUUGUCACAUAUGUACAUCCCCGGGAGCUUGUGUAGGGGUGCGUAAUGCAUCAAGCAUAGGGUUUAGCCUUGGGCAGAAAGUCAGCAGAAGGCUGUGCAUCAUUUAAGGCUCUCUCACUGAGUGUGCUAAGUGGUGCAUAAACCUCACAAAUGCUGCUAGUUGCUGGAUGAAUGGCUGAGGGAGCUGCAGGUGAAAAAAAAUCACAUAUAGUUUCUCACCAAGAGUAGGGGUCCCUGCUUUUCCUAAAAUAAGGAUUGUUGGUCUCAAUCCUGAUCAGCACAGUGAAGUCCAGCCAGCUCAAUGCAGGCUUGGAGUACACUGAUUGUUUUUCUGAAAUUCCUUGUGCUUGACAGUUGCAGAUACUCAGCAGCCUGCUCCCUCUGAUCCAGUAAAGCCAUUGGAGAUCUCUGCUCCCAGUCCCUCGUUUCAACAGCAGAGACUGAAACAAACUGUGUGAAAUCCAUCAUGUUUCCCAUCAGGGCCAAUGUUAUAAUCGGAAUGACCCACUCAUCAGGAAUUCAGUUUUAAAACCGGAAAAGGGAUUAGAGAGGUUAUAUAUACUUCUUGGUCAGGAUUUUCAAACUGGACAUGAGAUUCAUGAGAGCUCCAGAAGGGGCCUGAUUGCCAGGAAGGGCUGAGCAACUGUUUAAUGGAGAAAGGACUCCUCUCCAUCACAGGCCAGGCUGAGAUCAUCGCUGCCACACUUUUAGACUACACAGCAGUGGGUUAAACUGGCAAGAAAAGGA